UACGAAGGGUGCAAGCGUUACUCGGAAUUACUGGGCGUAAAGCGUGCGUAGGCGGUGAUGUAAGACAGGUGCGAAAUCCCCGGGCUUAACCUGGGAACUGCAUUUGUGACUGCAUCGCUGGAGUGCGGCAGAGGGGGAUGGAAUUCCGCGUGUAGCAGUGAAAUGCGUAGAUAUGCGGAGGAACACCGAUGCGAAGGCAAUCCCCUGGGCCUGCACUGACGCUCAUGCACGAAAGCGUGGGGAGCAAACAGG
rnacentral:rRNA from 1 species